rnacentral:rRNA from 1 species
UACGGAGGAUCCAAGCGUUAUCCGGAUUUAUUGGGUUUAAAGGGUGCGUAGGCGGUUUUAUAAGUUAGAGGUGAAAAUUCGGGGCUCAACUCCGGACGUGCCUCUGAUACUGUUCGGCUAGAGAGUAGUUGCGGUAGGCGGAAUGUAUGGUGUAGCGGUGAAAUGCUUAGAGAUCAUACAGAACACCGAUUGCGAAGGCAGCUUACCAAGCUACUUCUGACGUUGAGGCACGAAAGCGUGGGGAGCAAACAGG